rnacentral:rRNA from 1 species
UACGUAGGGUGCGAGCGUUAAUCGGAAUUACUGGGCGUAAAGCGUGCGCAGGCGGUUGUGCAAGACAGAUGUGAAAUCCCCGGGCUCAACCUGGGAAUUGCAUUUGUGACUGCACGGCUAGAGUGUGUCAGAGGGGGGUAGAAUUCCACGUGUAGCAGUGAAAUGCGUAGAGAUGUGGAGGAAUACCGAUGGCGAAGGCACGCC